CCACCGUCAACCUCAACGGUACCCGACAGUCCGGAACAGCCUAAACAUUGUUGUAAAAAUAAGUUCGGCAUUCCAGCACGAGUAUAAAUACAUUUUACACUAUCCUGGAUAUCACCGCCCACAAACUGCGGUGAUACAAACAAACUACGGCUCCUAGAGCUAAAUAUGGUAGUUUUAACAUAUGACAGUAUAGAAACGCCAGUUUUCUCCUAAGUCAAAUCCAAAUCCAACAUGUAUUAUUUAACUAAUAUUCUAAGCUCUAAUUCAGAUUUAGGAACACAAUAAAUCAAUGAAUCGAGCUACGAAAUAUGAUACGCAAAAAUUCACUAAUACAUGCUAGCAAAAGAACUUAGGAGGAAAUCCGCGAAAAUCUGGUAAGCAUCACUUUAACCCACCUCAAGCGCUAAUCCACGGCUGCGAGGAGUCGCCGGAAUCCCUGCUAAGCUCAGCCACAACCAGCAACAAGCCUCUUUAAGGAUUUAAAUAACAAAAUCCAUCAAUAAUCUAAAAUUCAGCACUAAAGCUCAAAUUCACAUCAAUCUCAAUGUCGAUUUCACUUUCCGAUCUCCAAAUCAUGUGGGAAAAGGUCCCAAAACCAGUGAACUAUGAUGGAGUAUCACCCUCAGGUCCAAAAUCCAAUAUCUUCUAAAGAUCUAAACACAAAAACAUCAAAAUUGCAUCAACACCCUUAAAUUUCAGCACUUAAGCUUAAAUCCACCAACUACAAUGUCAAAACUCACCUAUCAAUCCGAAAUCCACAAUUCUGGUGAAAAACAUUCACAAAACCA
rnacentral:lncRNA from 1 species